GAUCAUGGCUCAGGAUGAACGCUAGCGACAGGCUUAACACAUGCAAGUCGAGGGGCAGCACGGGAGUAGCAAUACAACUGGUGGCGACCGGCGCACGGGUGAGUAACGCGUAUGCAACCUACCUAUCAGAGGGGAAUAACCCGGCGAAAGUCGGACUAAUACCGCAUAAAACAGGGGCACCGCAUGGUGAUAUUUGUUAAAGAAAUUCGCUGAUAGAUGGGCAUGCGUUCCAUUAGGUAGUUGGUGAGGUAACGGCUCACCAAGCCGACGAUGGAUAGGGGAACUGAGAGGUUGGUCCCCCACACUGGUACUGAGACACGGACCAGACUCCUACGGGAGGCAGCAGUGAGGAAUAUUGGUCAAUGGGCGGGAGCCUGAACCAGCCAAGUCGCCGUGAAGGAAGAAGGAUCUAUGGUUCGUAAACUUCUUUUGCAGGGGAAUAAAGUGCAGGACGUGUCCUGUUUUGUAUGUACCCUGAGAAUAAGGAUCGGCUAACUCCGUGCCAGCCGCCGC
rnacentral:rRNA from 1 species